rnacentral:rRNA from 1 species
AAAUCCGGUAACCAUAAGGCUAGAGCGUGAUAGGUAAGCGAAAUCUUAGGAAAGUAGCGAAGCACAUGAUGACGGCUUCCAGGAAAAGCUUCUGGCAAUGCAUAUGCGGCCCGUACCAAAACCGACACAGGUAGGCAGGGAGAGAAUCCCGAGGUGAGCGAGAGAACUGUUGCCAAGGAACUCGGCAAAAUGACUCCGUAAGUUAGCGAGAAGGAGUGCUUAAGCAAUUAAGCCGCAGUGAAGAGGCCCAAGCGACUGUUUAACUAAAACACAGCUCUCUGCGAAGUCGCAAGACGAAGUAUAGGGGGUGACACCUGCCCGGUGCUGGAAGGUUAAGAGGAUCUGUUAAGAGCGAUCUGAAGCAGUGAUCCGAAGCCCCAGUGAACGGCGGCCGUAACAAUAACGGUCCUAAGGUAGCGAAAUUCCUUGUCAGGUAAGUUCUGACCCGCACGAAAGGUGUAACGAUUUGGGCGCUGUCUCGGCAGCAGACUCGGUGAAAUCUUAGUACCUGUGAAAAUGCAGGUUACCCGCAACUAGACGGAAAGACCCCAUGGAGCUUUACUGCAGCCUGAUAUUGAAUUCUGGUCAUACAUGUACAGGAUAGGUGGGAGACAAAGAGACGUGCACGCCAGUGUACGAGGAGUCGACGUUGGGAUACCACUCUUGUGUGACCGGGGUUCUAACCUGGUAUCGAAAACAGGUACGGGGAGAGUGUCAGGUGGGCAGUUUGACUGGGGCGGUCGCCUCCCAAAGAGUAACGGAGGCGCCCAAAGGUACGCUCAGAUUAGAUGGAAACCAAUCGACGAGUGCAAUUGCAGAAGCGUGCUUGACUGUGAGACUUACAAGUCGAACAGGGACGAAAGUCGGGAAUAGUGAUCCGGCGGUGCCGAAUGGAAGGGCCGUCGCUCAACGGAUAAAAGCUACCCUGGGGAUAACAGGCUGAUCUCGCCCAAGAGUUCACAUCGACGGCGAGGUUUGGCACCUCGAUGUCGGCUCAUCGCAUCCUGGAGCUGGAUUCGGUUCCAAGGGUUGGGCUGUCCGCCCAUUAAAGCGGUACGCGAGCUGGGUUCAGAACGUCGUGAGACAGUUCGGUCCCUAUCUGUUGUGGGCGAAGGAGAUCUGCGGAGAGCUGUCCUCAGUACGAGAGGACCGGGAUGGACCUACCGCUGGUGCACCGGUUGUUCCGCCAGGGGCAUAGCCGGGUAGCUAAGUAGGGAAAGGAUAAGCGCUGAAAGCAUCUAAGCACGAAGCCUACUCCAAGAUGAGAUCUCCCAUUCGCAAGAAGUAAGACCCCUUAAAGACGAUAAGGUAGAUAGGCCAGAGAUGGAAGUGCAGU